rnacentral:rRNA from 1 species
AUUGAACGCUGGCGGAAUGCUUUACACAUGCAAGUCGAACGGCAGCACGGACUUCGGUCUGGUGGCGAGUGGCGAACGGGUGAGUAAUGUAUCGGAACGUGCCCAGUCGUGGGGGAUAACAUAGUGAAAAUUACGCUAAUACCGCAUACGAUCUAUGGAUGAAAGCGGGGGAUCGCAAGACCUCGCGCGAUUGGCGCGGCCGAUAUCAGAUUAGGUAGUUGGUGGGGUAAAGGCCCACCAAGCCAACGAUCUGUAGCUGGUCUGAGAGGACGACCAGCCAUACUGGAACUGAGACACGGUCCAGACUCCUACGGGAGGCAGCAGUGGGGAAUUUUGGACAAUGGGCGAAAGCCUGAUCCAGCCAUUCCGCGUGCAGGAUGAAGGCCCUCGGGUUGUAAACUGCUUUUGUACAGAACGAAAAGGUUUCUACUAAUACUAGGAGCUCAUGACGGUACUGUAAGAAUAAGCACCGGCUAACUACGUGCCAGCCGCCGCAGUAA